GGAGGAAUACCCAAGUCCGGCUGAAGGGAUCGGUCUUGAAAACCGACAGGGGCUUAACGGCUCGCGGGGGGUCGAAUCCCUCUCUAGCUAGCUAGACGGGCCGCGGGGGUUCGAAUCCCUCUUCCUCCGCCA
rnacentral:tRNA from 1 species